rnacentral:misc_RNA from 1 species
AAGGUUUUCGUCGGCCCUCUCUUUGCGAAAAGAUUAGGAGUCUGGCGGCCAAGAUCAACCACUGUGCGCACAUAUUGAAAACGUAAUUGCUUUUGGUAGGUUGGUUCCCUUCUAAAGUUUUUUGGGGGGGCGCCUGCCAAGAGCAUCUACAAACCAGCCUUAUUUUUUGACUGAUAUCUUUUAAAUAAAAAUUUAAUA